AGCGCAGACGGCGAAGCAAGUCUGAAGUGAAAUGCAUGGGCUCAACCCAUGGAUUGCUUUGGAAACUGUUUGGCUUGAGUGUCGGAGGGGUAAGCGGAAUUCCUAGUGUAGCGGUGAAAUGCGUAGAUAUUAGGAGGAACACCGGAGGCGAAGGCGGCUUACUGGACGACAACUGACGUUGAGGUGCGAAAGCGUGGGGAGCAAACA
rnacentral:rRNA from 1 species